rnacentral:lncRNA from 7 species
AUUAGACUAAAGGCAAACAGAGUCUAUUAAUACUUAAUCUGGCGUUAAAAUGUUGAAAGUAAGGACUCACUUUAGUAAGCUAUUUCUGCAAAAGUAUCUAAGUUGAUUUUUGCUAAAGCCUCUCCUUGAUUCCUAUUUAUCCAGCAUACCCUUGAGAGUCUUUUCCUUAGUCGGGUAAGACUUGCUGAGUAAUUCCAUACUCAGGGUUUUAUUCCCUGUUGUUUUUCAGGUUUUAACUUUAUGCUGUUGUUGAUGGUGUUAAGUGCCGGUGGGCUCGGCCUUCUUAAAAGUCUAAGUACUUCUUAUAUACUUCUUAUUGAGGAUGGUCACUUGAGCUAGCAUAUAUUUCAAACUUAUACUUUUGUAAUCACUCCGAUAAAAUAAUGUAAAUUUUUUUUAUAACCUGUAAAAUUUGGUAAUAAGAUUUCCGCUGCAAAAAUGUUGUGUGUGUGAUUUGUGUUACUUAAUCCCGCGGUUCUGGUUGUAAGUGGUUUAUCCGAUGUCCUUGGGCAAUCGGACGGAUCCUGUUAAGUUAUCUGGUGCACAUGCAUAGCUGUCUGAGGUCUUUGAGACAAGGACAGGUGCAUGUGGGCCCAAUAACUUGGGAGGUUCUGCCACAGCUGGUAUCGGAGCAGGAUUAAGUAUAUACUGUCACAUACGUAUUUUCAAAACAAAAGUUUUGGUUUUAGAAAAACUAUUUUCAACUAAACACAUUGUUUGGCUUUGAAAAACAGUUUUGAAAAACUAUAAUGCUAGCGACAUCCUCUGUUAAGCCCUAAGUUAAGGACUAUUAGGUGGCUUAUUUGAAAACCAUAACCCACAACCGGGUGGGUAUUGCAUACAUGUGUAUUGUUAUUUUUAAGGCCAUUCAGUCUUGAAUGGAUCGACACUAAGGUAAGGUGAGAUGUGAGAGCAUGACCGAACAAUUGUCGGUCUAGGGAAGUGCUUAAUUGUGGCGCUUGACUAUAUACAUGCUCUACAUAUGUAUAUACAAAAGCUGCGAUGUGGAGUAUUUACUUUUCUGGGAAUUCGGUACCCCAUGGAUGUGUAUGGGUAUACAAACAUGGGAAUACUGAGAAGUGUAAUGUACUUGUAACGACGCACCUACGCUCAGGUAAGAAGGUGAGUUACCAUAAUGAGUUGCCCUAUGGUUAAAGUGUGGCAACAGCGCCUAUGCGUGGCUCGACGCUUAAUGAUGAGCUGGCCUCCAUAUAGCAAUAUAUGGAGUAUAAACUGUGAUAAACUGUCAUGUGUGACUUGCAUCAUUGGGAAUUGGGCUAUGAUGGAUUUUUCUGCAGGUACACUAACCUCGAAAACGUAUGUGUAGCUGACGACUAGCAAAUUACCGUGAGAGUCGUAAGAAUGCCACCGAUAUAGAACGCUAUCGCCACAUUAUGUUGGCAAAAUCAGUGAGGACGAAUAAGACGAGCAUGCAUCCUGAUUGUUGCAUCAUGUUUGUCACCUAUACACCCAAAAUGCUUCUCUCAUCUUUAUUCCAGUAACCAUUGAUUGUAGAUAAUGUGGUGUAAUGCUGAAUUAUGAACUUCGAUGAAAUAGGUGUCCUCCAUUCCUUAGGUGACCUCUUAGGGUGUUUUAUGUGCUUGCUCUUGUGCUUGAUGUGCCGAUAGAAAGUUGGUAAUUGAUUGCCUAAACCCAAAACUAGGCCAUGUUCUUAUUUAGUAAACCAUGACCCAAAACUUAAUUUUUUUUCCGUUAUCACUCCAUGACCAAACACAUACAAAUAAAUGCUUAGAUAAUUUCUUCGUUGGACAAAAAGGGUACUUAAGCUUAAAAUAAGAAUCUCGACUCAUAUUUCCAUCUUAGACCAUGCCCUUGACAAUUGGUACAAGCUGUUGUACCUUAUCCAGUGUGCUGGUUCUUAAGGAUCGCCAUGUUGUUUUAUCAACCUAACCUAGGAAAGGUAUGUCCGACCAUUUUCUUGAGUUUGAUGCCUUUGGUUUCCCCAUACAUAUCGAAGGCAUACCAACUUAAUCCUUGACUUUGUAAUCUCUGUGAUGGGCAUAGAAAUAUGCUUGUGGCUGAAGUAUCGGUCUCCCAUCGUACUUCUCUCAUCAAGUUUAAGUUAUGGCCAUGUUUUGUUCAUUUCAUCGGGCCAUAAUCUAUUUGGUUCUCUACUUGUAACCAUUCUUACAGGUAGAGUCUCUUUGUAUAUUGUCACCCUUGCCUAAUCCAUUGGUGUCGCGCGAGAUUUCUUAUUGGUUAUGUCUGGUAAUGGUGCUAUGACUAAAACUGAUGGUGCCGUGAUGAAACCGAGGGCCUUCUGUGGGUGCGCACACAUGGUUGUGCUACUCGGCACGCGCUGGUAUCACAGUUAGUAGUUGUAAUCCAUUAUGAGACUAUGUCAAUGCGUUAUCUUGGCACAAUAUGUUUUUUUGCUACGUGAGAUUGUUAUUGGUGCCAGUUCGGUAAUGGUGUCAUGGUUAAUGACUUAUGGUGCCGCAGCGAAACUGAGAGCCUCCUGUGAAUGCGCACACAGGACUAUGCUACUCGUCGGAUGCUGGUAUCAAGGUCUCUGGUCAUGAUCCAUUGUGGAACUACACUGAUGUGUUAUCUUCCGUAAACUACUUCCUUGAAACAAUUUCUAUGUUGUUUGUCAAGUGAUCAAGCAACAUCUAUCAUCUCUGUUGGAUCAAAAGGGCAUACCCCUUUAAUGUGUGGUCUCUUGUCCCUUUACUUUGAUGGUGACUACUCAUACAAGUUCCCUUUACAUCCUUCGUGUAAAGGUGAAGCCUUGGAGCUUUUUAGUGUCGAGAGACAACUGAUUAGCUCUCAAAAUGAAGAUUGAUUUUUCCCUGCUGUUGUGAUGCAGGAGUUUGUUCAUUCGCUCUCUUAUUUAAUCCAAGUAUUCCCUAACCAAGUGGAUAAUUCAUCUCACAUGAAGAAACGGAUGAACAACCUGACCAAAUGGAUUUCUGCCCAAGUGCAUGAUCAACUGUUAGUAUGAGUGAACUCUCAACCCUUGGCUUACCAAUGGUACUGAGAGGAUUUGCUUAAUGUCAAAAGUAGUUCAACAAGUUGGUUUUGACUAACUUGUAACUGCUCAAUGAACGAAGGCUGAGUUUAGAGAUCGCUUUAUUGAGUUGUCUAAACUCACUUUGGUUCAACCCACCCUAAAGAAAGUACUUACCAAAAUCAAAUUAAGUCGACCAGUAACCAUCUAAUUAUCGCUCUAGUUAUGCCUCGAUCGCCUCACGUGUGUUUUCCCAGCAUAUGCGAUCAAGUCGAGCCAUGCCUAGUGCUUGAUAAAAUGGACUGGUCGUAAAGUCCGUAUCUACAGAUCUCUUCACUGGUGAUUCUCUAGAAUCUAUACCAUCUUUCGUGGACUUGAAUUCUCGGGUUAGCCAUAUGUUAACCGCGACAGUAUUCGACAUCCACAUCCGUCUCGUGUGUUACGAACUCACUGUGACCACUUGUUGGUAAACAUCUUUCUGUGUGUUAUACCCAAGAUGGUGCAUCUAAUUCUAUUUGGGUAAAAUCGCGUAUUUAUCGCUCGCCCAAUAGACUCAGAUAGUACAGUGUCAUCAGAAAAAGCAAGCUGCACACAUGGAACCCUAUGUGUUCAUCUGGCAGACAUCGUCUCUAUUAUUGGACAUUUCUAAAUUAGCUUAAGGCAAUACAUGUUAUGUCCACUAGAGAAACAACAUCCUGAGACACUCGCCUUUGCUUGGAGCUGUUUUAUGGUUAUCGCUGAUAUGGACAUGGGUUACAUGCUUCUCUACUCUUAAGAGUCUUUCGCUCCGAAUCUCGCGACGAGAUUCUUUUAAGGGGGGAGGGCUGUAACACCUCAGGUGCUUACCGUCCGCUCGACAACGAGUAUGGAGUUAAGCACGUAAUAUCAGUGGAUGAAACGGAUACUAAAAUUUAAUCAUCUUCGCCUAUUGCGAUUUUAAUAUCGCAUCUGUUUCGUCUGUUGCGGGUGCGACAUUGUUUUUAUUUUUAUUAAUCCAGGCUCUUCCAAAAUUUCCGUGUUCUUCGGAACAUCGUCGUUCCGAACAUCGGUGCGUCCGGUGAUUAUUUAAAAUUCAUCGCUCGCGCGAAUACGAAUUUGGAAGUCCGACUCACUAAGAUGAUUUUUAUCCCGGGCAAAUUAGUUGAACUCGACGACUAAAAUGUUCGGGGUAAAAUAAUUUGAAUCGCGCGAAAUCAUGCGCGAGGUUAUAAUCCAAUUAAUUCUUCAGCACGCGGUUUCGACGAAAAAAAUCGCGUAUACGUUCACAUAUUGUGUUUCGGCUAAUUUCGGUCGAAUCACGCCGAACAAAUUAUCAGUGCCGAAAUCAGUUUAAUUCGGCUUGUCGUUUCUUGCCCGAUCCAAAACUUGGAUAUAAAUUACGGGUGCGAAUUCAUCUAAUCCCAUUUGUUCUUCAGCCCACACUGUAGGAUAAUCAAAUCAGCUGUGUUUUGGUGACGGGUAAAUUUUUAUCUGAGUUCGACCAAACCAGUGUUGUCCUAAAUAUCGAAUCGGAUCUCGUCUGGUUUAAUCCGUCUACAUCUCGCUCCCGUGACGAUACUGACAUCGUCCCCGGAGGAAUUCCGAUUGCGAUGUCGCAUUCGGCUCGCACAGUUUAAAAUUUAUUUAAUUCUAAAAGUGUCGAGCCUAGUGCCAAUUUAAAAUUAAUCUAGACGAAAUAAAAUUGUCACUUAAGUAUUUCGCUCGGUUCGAGCAAUCUCUAUAAAUUUGGUAAAGCCACUACCAGGGACAGACUGUUUAAAUAAACUGAAUCCGAACUAAUUGAAACCGGAAAAAUUGUUAGCCGAUUCGGUGUCCUAUUUCAAAGUCCCAGUAAAUAAUAUGUUUAACCCAAGUGUCGUUUUAAUUAGAUUGUGUACAUCUUGUCUAGACCCAAAUUCAAAUAUUCUGAAAUUUCCAUUUUAUUUAAAGAAAUGUGUAGCCGUAUAGCGUGUUGACCUAGUGUACAUCGCUAAAAAUCAUGAUCCAAAAUAUUUGCAAUUCUCUUUAAAAAAAGAGU